rnacentral:rRNA from 1 species
CCUACGGGAGGCAGCAGUGAGGAAUAUUGGUCAAUGGACGAGAGUCUGAACCAGCCAAGUAGCGUGAAGGAUGACUGCCCUAUGGGUUGUAAACUUCUUUUAUAAAGGAAUAAAACGAGGCACGUGUGCCUUUUUGCAUGUACUUUAUGAAUAAGGAUCGACUAACUCCGUGCCAGCAGCCGCGGUAAUACGGAGGAUCCGAGCGUUAUCCGGAUUUAUUGGGUUUAAAGGGAGCGUAGAUGGGUUGUUAAGUCAGUUGUGAAAGUUUGCGGCUCAACCGUAAAAUUGCAAUUGAUACUGGCAGUCUUGAGUAUAGUUGAGGUAAGCGGAAUGUGUGGUGUAGCGGUGAAAUGCUUAGAGAUCACGAAGAACCCCGAUUGCGAAGGCAGCUUACUAAACUGCGACUGACAUUGAUGCUCGAAAGUGUGGGUAGCAAACAGGAUUAGAUACCCGGGUAGUC